rnacentral:antisense_RNA from 1 species
GAGGAGGCGGGAGCCGGGAAGGAGGGGAGCCGAGGCCCGGCGUGGGGAGGCCGGCAGGAAGGGCCUCGAGCCCAGUGCGGACCUUUCUUCAGCCUCUGUGCGGCCGAGCCGCGCGCCAGGCUGCUGUGCGAGGAGGACGCGCUGACUUCCUCCGACAUGGGCUCUGAUAGAGCAGAAAUAGCGGGACCUGGACUUGUGGCGCGCCUGGUGCCUGGUGCCACAUCUCGGGCUCUGCGAGCCUCCUGGCGCGGGAUCCUGCCGUUUGCAUCCAAGAGAGGGGAGGACAGGGGCAAAAGGAUGCAGGGAGGCUGCUGAUUUCCACUGGAGAGCUAAUUUCCUGUGAGAUAUUAACCGUGAUUUAAGAAAAAAAUUCCUGUAACUGUAAUGUCUUACAAUAACAGAAUGCAGGAGAGCACAUAUCAAUGAAGAAAAGACAAAAUGUAUUUAUCCAUGAAGCUGAGGUUAAGAAACCAGUGUCUUCAAGAGCCGGGGACAGCACUGGGUCUGUGCAGAGUUGAGAGAUGGUGAUGACAUGUGGUUUCCAGCAUUCCUGGCCCAGUCCAGGGACACUGUGGGUGUGCCCAGCUUAAGUCCAGUAACUGGAAAUACAAGCCCAAGUUCUGGAGAGUUUGAGCUGCAGAGAUAUAUAUGGGGACACUUUGAACCUUGACUCAUUGGCCAUAACCAGCAGAGUGGAAAAUACAAGAAGAGAAAAAAACAUUGAACUGCGAUUUUAUAACACCCUUUACUAGGCAGAGAGAAGAGGAAA